CAGCCGCCACGGGAAUACAGAGGGUGCAAGCGUUAAUCGGAAUUACUGGGCGUAAAGCGCGCGUAGGUGGUUUGUUAAGUUGGAUGUGAAAUCCCCGGGCUCAACCUGGGAACUGCAUCCAAAACUGGCAAGCUAGAGUAUGGUAGAGGGUGGUGGAAUUUCCUGUGUAGCGGUGAAAUGCGUAGAUAUAGGAAGGAACACCAGUGGCGAAGGCGACCACCUGGACUGAUACUGACACUGAGGUGCGAAAGCGUGGGGAGCAAACAGGAUUAGAUACCCGUGUAGUCCCUGUCUCUUAUAU
rnacentral:rRNA from 1 species